GGCUGGUCCGGCGGUGCGAGGUCCGGGACCAGCAGAGAGGCCGUCUCCGAACCGGCUUCGCUGGCCGAGAGGCCCGGGGAGGCCACGCUUCCGUAGCCGUUGUCUCCGGCGUUCAAGGGCAUGGUGGCGGGCAGCAGUAAUCUUACUUGCUGGUGAUGCCUCCCCCUGGUGGAAGUCCUGGUAUUCCCUCCUCGGCCAGGAAUUUGAUCACAUACAAGAGGUCAGGAUCUUCAUCUUUGGACCUCAUCAUCUGGAUGAUUUCUUACCUGUAGCCAGGAUGUGGUCCAGCAGGUUCCUGGAGCAGUACUGGGCCACUGUGCUCCCAGCAUGGCCGUCAAACACAGCAUAAUAGGCCCACUCGCUCAGCUCCCCUCUCAUUUGAGGCAUGCACGUGUGCGCAUCUUCCAUCUGAGCCCUCCAGCCCUGCAUGUUUGCCACCGCGUAGUUCACCCCAGACUGGGAUCCCCCCUCGGACACGUGUUUCUCCAAAAUGGGCCGCUCCAGGUACGGGCUGGGCAUGCCGUCGUCGUCGUCCUCUUCCUCCUCCUCGAGCCCCUUCUCUCUCGAGCCGCCUUUGAAGAAGAAGGUGACCAUCUUCCCGGUUUCCUUAACCAGCUGGCGGAGGAAGGAGGGCACCUCCACGUUGCUCGCCCUGCGCGCUGUCCUCAUCACGCCUCUGAGUCGCUGCUCAAGCUUCCUGCUCGACCUGGCCGCCGCUCGUUGUCUCCUCUUGCUGGUGGCCCUGCGCCGGCCGUUUGUCUUCCUCAGCAGGUCCAGGGCAACGAAUGAGCAGAUGCUCAGAUGACCAGGCUGCCCGGCUUCUCCCUGUUUGCCGUAGCGUACUGUACUCUAACAGCGCUGCAGCCAUGGUGAUGAUGAUGAUGAUGAGAGAGCAAGCAGCAGGAGGAAGAGGAUGGUGGAGGGGGAGUCAGGGCGGGGCGGCCAGAGGCAGGAAGCUGCUCACACAGACCACCGUGGGACCACAGCAGGC